CGCUAGCUACAGGCUUAACACAUGCAAGUCGAGGGGCAGCAUGGUCUUAGCUUGCUAAGGCCGAUGGCGACCGGCGCACGGGUGAGUAACACGUAUCCAACCUGCCGUCUACUCUUGGACAGCCUUCUGAAUGGAAGAUUAAUACAAGAUGGCAUCAUGAGUCCGCAUGUUCACAUGAUUAAAGGUAUUCCGGUAGACGAUGGGGAUGCGUUCCAUUAGAUAGUAGGCGGGGUAACGGCCCACCUAGUCUUCGAUGGAUAGGGGUUCUGAGAGGAAGGUCCCCCACAUUGGAACUGAGACACGGUCCAAACUCCUACGGGAGGCAGCAGUGAGGAAUAUUGGUCAAUGGGCGAGAGCCUGAACCAGCCAAGUAGCGUGAAGGAUGACUGCCCUAUGGGUUGUAAACUUCUUUUAUAAAGGAAUAAAGUCGGGUAUGGAUACCCGUUUGCAUGUACUUUAUGAAUAAGGAUCGGCUAACUCCGUGCCAGCAGCCGCGGUAAUACGGAGGAUCCGAGCGUUAUCCGGAUUUAUUGGGUUUAAAGGGAGCGUAGAUGGAUGUUUAAGUCAGUUGUGAAAGUUUGCGGCUCAACCGUAAAAUUGCAGUUGAUACUGGAUAUCUUGAGUGCAGUUGAGGCAGGCGGAAUUCGUGGUGUAGCGGUGAAAUGCUUAGAUAUCACGAAGAACUCCGAUUGCGAAGGCAGCCUGCUAAGCUGCAACUGACAUUGAGGCUCGAAAGUGUGGGUAUCAAACAGGAUUAGAUACCCUGGUAGUCCACACGGUAAACGAUGAAUACUCGCUGUUUGCGAUAUACUGCAAGCGGCCAAGCGAAAGCGUUAAGUAUUCCACCUGGGGAGUACGCCGGCAACGGUGAAACUCAAAGGAAUUGACGGGGGCCCGCACAAGCGGAGGAACAUGUGGUUUAAUUCGAUGAUACGCGAGGAACCUUACCCGGGCUUAAAUUGCAGAUGAAUUACGGUGAAAGCCGUAAGCCGCAAGGCAUCUGUGAAGGUGCUGCAUGGUUGUCGUCAGCUCGUGCCGUGAGGUGUCGGCUUAAGUGCCAUAACGAGCGCAACCCUUGUUGUCAGUUACUAACAGGUUCCGCUGAGGACUCUGACAAGACUGCCAUCGUAAGAUGUGAGGAAGGUGGGGAUGACGUCAAAUCAGCACGGCCCUUACGUCCGGGGCUACACACGUGUUACAAUGGGGGGUACAGAGGGCCGCUACCACGCGAGUGGAUGCCAAUCCCCAAAACCUCUCUCAGUUCGGACUGGAGUCUGCAACCCGACUCCACGAAGCUGGAUUCGCUAGUAAUCGCGCAUCAGCCACGGCGCGGUGAAUACGUUCCCGGGCCUUGUACACACCGCCCGUCAAGCCAUGGGAGCCGGGGGUACCUGAAGUGCGUAACCGCGAGGAGCGCCCUAGGGUAAAACUGGUGAC
rnacentral:rRNA from 1 species